GGAGAGAUGGCUGAGUGGUCGAAAGCGCCGCACUGCUAAUGCGGUAUACCGCUAAUGUGGUAUCGCGGGUUCGAAUCCCGCUCUCUCCGCCA
rnacentral:tRNA from 1 species